GACCGUGAGGGUUCGAGUCCCUCUAUCCCCA
rnacentral:tRNA from 1 species